rfam:Triticum urartu cultivar G1812 contig647427, whole genome shotgun sequence.
CAACUACUCCCUCUGUCCCAAAUUUCUUGUCUUAGAUUUGUCUAGAUACGGAUGUAUAUAAUACUAAAAUGUGACUUGAUAAAUCUGUAUCUAGACAAAUCUAAGACAAGAAUUUUGGGAUGGAGGAAGUACUUU